rnacentral:rRNA from 1 species
GGCCGCAGUAUUCUAACUGUGCAAAGGUAGCAUAAUCAUUAGUCUUUUAAUUGAAGGCUGGUAUGAACGGUUGGACGAAGUAUAAGCUGUUUCAUGUAAAUUUAUAAUAGAAUUUUAUAUUUUAGUCAAAAAGCUAAAAUAUUAUUAAAAGACGAGAAGACCCUAUAAAUCUUUAUAUUUUAUUGUGUAUAAAUUUUAUAGAUAUUUUUUAUUUUUAUAUGAUAAAAUAUUUUGUUGGGGUGAUGUUAAAAUUUAAUGAACUUUUAAUUAAUUUAAAACCAUUAAUUUAUGAUUUAUUGAUCCAUUAAUAAUGAUUAUAAAAUUAAGUUACUUUAGGGAUAACAGCG